rnacentral:snRNA from 24 species
AUCUCUUUGCCUUUUGGCUUAGAUCAAGUGUAGUAUCUGUUCUUUUCAGUGUAACAGCUGAAAUGACCUCAAUGAGGCUCAUUACCUUACGUUUUGUUACAACACAUUUUUUGGAAACUUUUAUUUCGGGUUUAGAGAGAUUGUUACUUAUUUGAUUUUCUGAGAUUAUGCACUUCAUUGGGUAUAGUCUUCUCCCU